rnacentral:rRNA from 1 species
UUGGAGGGCAAGUCUGGUGCCAGCAGCCGCGGUAAUUCCAGCUCCAAUAGCGUAUAUUAAAGUUGUUGCAGUUAAAAAGCUCGUAGUUGAAUUUCGGGAUCAAUUUAUCGGUCGUGCCUACGGUAUGAACUGGUACAAUUGGUUUCUCCCUUCUGACGAAGCAUGAUGUCAUUAAUUUGGUGUCGUGGGGAAUCAGGACUGUUACUUUGAAAAAAUUAGAGUGUUUAAAGCAAGCAUUAGCUUGAAUACAUUAGCAUGGAAUAAUGAAAUAGGACGUUUGAUCCUAUUUCGUUGGUUUCUAGGAUCGACGUAAUGAUUAAUAGGGAUAGUUGGGGGCAUUAGUAUUCAAUUGUCAGAGGUGAAAUUCUUGGAUUUAUUGAAGACUAACUACUGCGAAAGCAUUUGCCAAGGAUGUCUUCAUUAAUCAAGAACGAAAGUUAGGGGAUCGAAGACGAUCAGAUACCGUCGUAGUCUUAACCAUAAACUAUGCCGACUAGGGAUCGGAUGAUGUUAAUUUUUUAAUGACUCAUUCGGCGCCUUACGGGAAAC